GUUUCCCUUCCCCAAGAAGCUAUGGGGAGCUUCUAGGUCUAAUGCUGUUCCUCUGCUUUUGAGCUGAAUUUCUGCACGGCAGCCUUUCUCGAUUGCAGUAGGGCUUCCCUGGCUUGAAGAUGGGUGUGCUGUCCUGAGGGAGGAGCAGUGUUGGCUGUCUUACAGUGACCUUCCUGCUUUCCUUUAGAAGAGUCCACUAAGAACUGUAUCGGGUUUUUCAAUGAUAGAGAUCUCAAACAAAGGUCGCUGUUUAAGACUGUGUGACGUUCAACGGCAGAAUCUGGAACGCUCACCCAUAGCAGGGCACAUCUGAAUCAAUAUCAUGACUUUUAACAUGCAGAGUUGGAAAUUCUGGUUACCCAUGAAAAACUAUUAAAAGAUAGUGCCUGGAAAACAUAGAAGCCAUCCAAACACUCUGGUGCUGUAGGACAUAUGUCCCUGUGCAGCUCUCCCAUGGGAAGGGUGUCGUCGCUUCCAGGCUUUUGUGGCAAUCAGUACCUACGUGGCUGCUUAACAGGCAGAAGCCCUAAUAAUAAGCAUCUCAUUAGAAGAGCAGUAAACGGUUCUGUCACUGAUUGGAAAAUGUUGAGACGAAGCAGCGUUUCCCCUCGUGGGAGACUCAGGAUCCCUCAAAAACAUCACUAACGUGUUCCUUCAGGUCAGCCAGGCCCCUAGCGCUUCGGUUUCUUAUCUGGAAUCCCAGCGAAACAGACUCAAGUGCCUCCCUGCAGAAGGUUGAUUUUGGGAGGCUCGUUCUCUUCAUUAGGCAGUGGAGGGUUCUGAAGAACAGCUUGUUUAGCUCCUGGAAAAAAAGAAAACCCACACCCAUUUUACAAAAUCCAGUCUGUUGUGAAGUUCAUUCUUAGUAUUUAACCAUACAAGCAAAACAUUUAUAACAAUGCAUAAAGCAGGAAAUUAAUGUAAAGGCCGCUAAGCUGUCAGAAGAAAGGGUGACCUUUGAUGUUGGAAAUCACCAGAGGUUUCCCCGGUUCUGCAUGGGUACGUCAUGGAGUGCUUCACUCAAGGCAUUUUAAGUCUGUGAUCCUUAUGUAUUUAUUUAUUUUUAAAGGCAAAUUUAGAUGUAUGCUCUACGUACGUGUCACUGUAAGACACAAUGGAAGAAAGGUGAAGUGCACUACGUAUCAUUUUCCAAAAUAAAGAC
ensembl:lncRNA